UCGAGAACCCUCUCAGUCAUUCAGUUACCGGCCGGAAGCUGUGCGUAAAUGUGACAGACGUAAGGCGGCGUUGUUAGGACAUUGCCUACGCCAUUGUUAAUCCAAGUUCACCGGUUCAACGAGGAAGGCAACGUUAGCUCAAAAUUACUCGUGGGAGCGUAUUAACAGGUUCGUUAACGAUCGAACGUCAAACAUGUCUCUCCGAUCUAUUUUACAGGCGUCGUUAUCAUGUGACUAAACGCCGGUUCACAAUAUUACAUUCACACAGCGAUAAGGAACGACAUGAUACAAUGGGGCAGGUAAAAUAGAGAGAGAGAGAGAGAGAGAGGGAGAGAGAGAGAGAGAGAAAGAGGGAGAGAGAGAGAGAGAGAGACAUCAUUUUAGUAUUGGAGACGUUCCAAAGUACUACUUUCGCAUAUGGAAUUGAGGUUGUGUUCGUUCGCUUAUAUUCGCCUUUUAAACCGAGCCUCGCGUGACAGUAAAAGCCUAAUCGAAAGCCACUCUUCGCAGCUCAGUUUGGAGGCUCGUGUGGAACCCUGACAUGCAUUCGAAUAUGGCGAGAUACUUAAACGUAGUCUAUAUUUGGAUUAAUACGAUCGCGCGGUCGUUCGGUUGACCUUCCAAGAUUUGUAUAAAAAAAAAAUUUCCAAAUGAAAAUUUCGUUUCGAAAACAAAAUUUUAUACGAAUGUAUCAAUUCCUUCUUUACAAUUACCAUCACUUCCUAUACCUUUUCUGAAUGAGUCUUUGUCCUUUUAUCGUAAAUCGAUUUAUAGACAUCUAAGACAUCGUCUUUGAUCAGCACUCAUUCUCAGUUAAUUGUAUUAUAUCGAAAACGACUAUUAUUACGCCUAAGAUCGAGAUAAAGUGAGGGACACAAAGUGGGGAUAGCGAUAAGCGUUUGCAGCAAAAAAAAGGGAGGGGGAGAGCCUCGAGGCGAUGCACAAAGUGACCAUAUUUGGUGUUGUUAGAUUACGUUCAAUACGUGGGCGUGAACGCACCCUUGUUACUCGUAACUGAAUCGCUCCAGUUACGUCGUGGUACGCACAUUCAUGAGACUAAUUAAUUUUGUUGGAAGAAGUGCGUUAGAUGAAUAAGAAUAAAAGGAAAAGGUAGAAGAAGAGAAGAAGAGAAAAAGAGAAGGGGGAAAGGAAGAGAGAAAG